GUAGUUAUAAUUUUAGCCAUCAGGGAGCGUUGGACUUUUGAACUCGCGAGUAGAUCUGACGUGUCUAUUGUUUGGGUUCUUCAUAAAUAUUACGGGUAUAGGUUAGUUUUUACUGCAAAACCAAAUACAACGGCGUUGAACUAUGCGUAUGCUCGCCUGGUGUAUUCAUGCAAACACUGGGGACAUGCUUUGAGCAUGCUGCAGCUGAUUAUUUUACUCACCAAUAGCAAGACACAUAAGAGCAGUCCCCUUGUUUGGGAAACAAAUUUACAACAGACUUCUUCAGGAUUCCUUGAUUUUCUUGUAAAAUUCGUACAUUUGAUUCAGUUGCCAUUUCUGCGAAAUACUGUCCACUGACACAUCAACAAGUUAUUUCAGUUGGUCUAUGAUGGUACGCAUACGUAAACAAAGAGCAACAGAAGUUCCAAUUAGCAGAACUGGCAGAAAAUCCUCCUCAAUAUUGACCAUAGACUAGACGAGUUGACAGAUGUUGACUGUCUAGGAUCAUCAAAUUGGUGCAAUUCCCCGUUCGAUAAUACCAGGAAUCCUAGCAGAAAUGACCUGAGCCUUGUAUCUCACUUUAUUUCCCAGAAAUAAUAAAGGAUCAUCCCAGA